CUAAUACUUCCUCCGUCCAGAAAUAAUUGUCUUAGAAAUGAAUGUAUCUAGACUUAUUUUAAUUAUAGAUACAUUCAUUAUAUUCAUUUUUAAGACAAGUAUUUCCUGAUGAAGGGAAUAGUUA
rfam:Hordeum vulgare subsp. vulgare, WGS project CAJW01000000 data, contig: morex_contig_96615